rnacentral:rRNA from 1 species
CAGCAGCCGCGGUAAUACCGGCGGCCCGAGUGGCGGUCACUAUUAUUGGGCUUAAAGCGUCCGUAGCCGGGUUGGGAAGUCCUCCGGGAAAUCUGGCCGCUUAACGGUCAGAAUGCCGGAGGAUACUCCCAGCCUAGGGAGCGGGAGAGGCCGAGGGUAUUCCCGGAGUAGGGGGGAAAUCCUAUAAUCCCGGGGGGACCACCUGUGGCGAAGGCGCUCGGCUGGGACGCGUCCGACGGUGAGGGACGAAGGCCAGGGGAGCAAACCGGAUUAGAUACCCGGGUAGUCCUGGCUGUAAACGAUGCGGACUUUGUGUCGGACAAGCUAUGAGCUUGUCCGGUGCCGGAGGGAAACCGUUAAGUCCGCCGCCUGGGGAGUACGGCCGCAAGGCUGAAACUUAAAGGAAUUGGCGGG